rnacentral:rRNA from 1 species
CCUACGGGAGGCAGCAGUGAGGAAUAUUGGUCAAUGGGCUUACGCCUGAACCAGCCAAGUCGCGUGAGGGAAGACUGCCCUAUGGGUUGUAAACCUCUUUUGUCAGGGAGCAACGCCGGCUACGUGUAGCCGGACUGAGAGUACCUGAAGAAAAAGCAUCGGCUAACUCCGUGCCAGCAGCCGCGGUAAUACGGAGGAUGCGAGCGUUAUCCGGAUUUAUUGGGUUUAAAGGGUGCGUAGGCGGACUGCCAAGUCAGCGGUAAAAUCGCGGGGCUCAACCUCGCUCCGCCGUUGAAACUGGCGGUCUUGAGUGGGCGAGAAGUAUGCGGAAUGCGUGGUGUAGCGGUGAAAUGCAUAGAUAUCACGCAGAACUCCGAUUGCGAAGGCAGCAUACCGGCGCCCAACUGACGCUGAAGCACGAAAGCGUGGGUAUCGAACAGGAUUAGAUACCCCAGUAGUC